UACGUAGGGCGCAAGCGUUGUCCGGAAUUAUUGGGCGUAAAGAGCUCGUAGGCGGUCUGUCGCGUCGGUCGUGAAAACUUGGGGCUUAACCCUGAGCUUGCGGUCGAUACGGGCAUGACUGGAGUUCGGCAGGGGAGACCGGAAUUCCUGGUGUAGCGGUGAAAUGCGCAGAUAUCAGGAGGAACACCGGUGGCGAAGGCGGGUCUCUGGGCCGAUACUGACGCUGAGGAGCGAAAGCGUGGGGAGCGAACAGG
rnacentral:rRNA from 1 species